AUAGCUCAGUGGUAGAGUGUGUGCUUAGCAUGCAUGAGGCUUUGGGUUCAAUCCCCAUU
rnacentral:tRNA from 1 species